rnacentral:tRNA from 1 species
GGGAAUGUGGCUUAAUGAUAAGAGUGCUUGCCUACCAUGCAUGAAGCCCUGGGUUCGAUUCCUCAGUACCA